rnacentral:rRNA from 1 species
AACGAACGCUGGCGGCAUGCCUAACACAUGCAAGUCGAACGAGACCUUCGGGCUUAGUGGCGCACGGGUGCGUAACGCGUGGGAACCUGCCCUUAGGUUCGGAAUAACUCCCCGAAAGGGGCGCUAAUACCGGAUAAUGUUUUCGGACCAAAGAUUUAUCGCCUUUGGAUGGGCCUGCGUUGGAUUAGCUCGUUGGUAGGGUAAAAGCCUACCAAGGCGACGAUCCAUAGCUGGUCUGAGAGGAUGAUCAGCCACACUGGGACUGAGACACGGCCCAGACUCCUACGGGAGGCAGCAGUGGGGAAUAUUGGACAAUGGGCGAAAGCCUGAUCCAGCAAUGCCGCGUGAGUGAUGAAGGCCUGAGGGUUGUAAAGCUCUUUUACCCGGGAUGAUAAUGACAGUACCGGGAGAAUAAGCUCCGGCUAACUCCGUG